rnacentral:lncRNA from 1 species
AAAAAUCAUUCAAAUUAUGAGAAGUUUACCAAAAUAAUUAUGAAAAAAAAUAAAACAAUAGUAUUAUACCAUACUUUUAUUAAGUAUAAACAUAAGAUUUUGUGGUAUCCACUAGUGUAAAUAUUUUAAAUUGAAGAUCGAAUUCAAUCAUUGUAUUCAUAUAAGGUCAAUGAGUGUAGUUGUAAAAAAUCAUCAAAAUCGGAGUUAAAUUAACCGUUAAAUCGUGAUUUUUCGUUUAUAACCAUCGAAAAGUUUUGUCCCGUUACGUGCUCUCUGAAUGUUUGUUUUUUGCAAUUUUUGGCGUAUGCGAUCUCGAAAUAUAUACAAACGUG